GGCUCCCCUAGAGAAAGUGGGCCGAAAGGGAAAAGGGUUAAUAUUCCCUUACCGGGACACGGAGACUUUCGGCCCGAGGGUCGAUGGUGCGGUGACGCAAACGAACUCGGCGACGCCGUCGGAGGACCCGGAGAAGAGUUGCCUUUUCUUUGUAAGACGCGCGCGUCCCUCGAAUCUCGUCGCGAGGAGACAGGGACGCCGCCUGUCGAAAAAGCACGGUCGCUGCCGCCGUGUCCGGUGCGCCUCCGCCGGCCCUUGAAAAACCGAGGGAGAGCUUGUGAUUUUCGUGCCCGGCCGUACCCAUAUCCGCAGCAGGUCUCCAAGGUGAACAGCCUCUAGUCUCUAGAACAAUGUAGGUAAGGGAAGUCGGCAAGUUCGAUCCCUAACCUCGGGAAAAGGAUUGGCUCUUGUGUCUCGGUCUUUCUGGACUCGCACUUUCCGAAGCUCCUAUCGUGGCGGGGACUGGUCCCAGUUUGGGGAUCGGACCCCGUACUCGAGGUGGGGUGUAGGGUGCGAGGUGCCCCGGUCCUCCGUAAGGACUGGGGCAGUGCCGGAGGACAGGAAAGAGACGGACAAGAACUGGCACGGACUCGGGGAAUCCGACUGUCUAAUUAAAACAAAGCAUUGAGACGGCCGGCGAUCGGUGUUGACUCAAUGUGAUUUCUGCCCAGUGCUCUGAAUGUCAAAGUGAAGAAAUUCAACGAAGCGCGGGUAAACGGCGGGAGUAACUAUGACUCUCUUAAGGUAGCCAAACGCCUCGUCAUCUAAUUAGUGACGCGCAUGAAUGGAUUAACGAGAUUCCCACUGUCCCUAUCUACUAUCUAGCGAAACCGCAGCCAAGGGAACGGACUUGGCAAAUUCACUGGGGAAAGAAGACCCUUUCGAGCUUGACUCUAGUCUGACUUUGUUCUAAGGCAUUAUUGGCGUAGUCUAGGUGGGAGUCCUUCAAUGGGCGAAAUUGUGAAAUACCACUACUUUGAUCGCCUUGGGACUUAUUCGGUGAUGUUCCUAAUCGUCCCUCAUCGAGGGACGAACGUAUGUGCUUUAAGUCCUCGCCGUUCGAGUGUUGGACGAGGAACUCCGAAGACAGCGUCAGGCAGGCAGUUUGUCUGGGGCGGAACAUCUGUCAAAUGGCAACGCAGGUGUCCCAAGGCCGGCUCAGUCGGGACGGAAACCCGGCGUGGAGCAAAGGGGCAAAAGCCGGCUCGAUCCCGUUCUUCAGCAGGGAAGGGGACCUGGAAACAGGGGCCCAUCGAUCCUUUCUUUUGUGUGCCCUCCGGGGUACGAUGUGAGAGUCUCACGGGAGAGGUGUCGGAAAAGUUACCGGAGGGAUAACUGGCUCGUGGCGGCUGAGAGUUCAUAUCGACGUCGCUUAUUGAUUCUUCGAUGUCGGCUCUUCCUAUCAUUGCGAAGCAGAAUUCGCAAAGCGUUGGAUUGUUCACCCACUAACAGGGAACGUGAGCUGGGUUUAGACCGUCGUGAGACAGGUUAGUUUUACCCUGGUGAAGACGGGUCGUGGCUACGGGAAAACUUGCCCAGUACGAGAGGAACCGUAGGUUGGGACAUUUGGUACUGCGCUCGGUGGGGCCGCCGGUGGCGCGAAGCUACCAUCCCGUGGGAGAACGGCUGAACGCCUCUAAGUCGGAAACCCUCCCGGCGAGUGUCGGGAUACUUCCGGCCCCGCGCGUCGAACGGCCUUUCCUAGGGGCCGCACGUUGGUCCUCUCCUCGUCGCGGGGAGGGGUGCGAGCGUCGGUUCCGAAGAAGCCCCUUCGUACGCCUGGACAGAUGACGGACCCCCCUCCCAGACUGCCGGGGGUCCUGUCCCUACGAGCCUGCCUCCGGGCGGGUGCGAUGUGUGUGGGUCGAGAGUCGUCUGCAGACGACUUUCGUUCUGGACGGGGUGUUGU
rnacentral:rRNA from 1 species